GACGAACGCUGGCGGCGUGCUUAACACAUGCAAGUCGAACGGAAAGGCCCUGCUUUUGUGGGGUGCUCGAGUGGCGAACGGGUGAGUAACACGUGAGUAACCUGCCCUUGACUUUGGGAUAACUUCAGGAAACUGGGGCUAAUACCGGAUAGGAGCUCCUGCUGCAUGGUGGGGGUUGGAAAGUUUCGGCGGUUGGGGAUGGACUCGCGGCUUAUCAGCUUGUUGGUGGGGUAGUGGCUUACCAAGGCUUUGACGGGUAGCCGGCCUGAGAGGGUGACCGGCCACAUUGGGACUGAGAUACGGCCCAGACUCCUACGGGAGGCAGCAGUGGGGAAUAUUGCACAAUGGGCGGAAGCCUGAUGGAGCAACGCCGCGUGCGGGAUGACGGCCUUCGGGUUGUAAACCGCUUUCGCCUGUGACGAAGCGUGAGUGACGGGAAUGGGUAAAGAAGCACCGGCUAACUACGU
rnacentral:rRNA from 1 species